rnacentral:tRNA from 1 species
AACCUGAAAGAGUUCAGCGGUGUCUCCGACCAUCUCGCAUAAGGUCAAGGCACGGGAGUAGUUCGUCUCCACCUCGGGUGC